UGCCUUGUGUAAAACUAACAGUAGAUAACUUGACGCAUGGUUGCAGUCUGCCAUCAAGGGAGACAUGAAGCUGAGGGUGGUCGUCAUGGACAGCGAGGCUGCGGCGGUGACGGCGACGGAGAGGAGCACCGCCAAGGAGAAGCUCUAGGAACCUUGAAGAAAAUAAACUAGCAACUUAGGGAACAGAUAUUCCUUAGGAUCUUGUUCCCGACAGAAGUUGCUUCAGGAAUCCCUAAAGAAGGAGUGCCAGCUAAGAUGCAGAACAGCUGCGGCCAGCGUCGAUGUGUUCGCGUUCGAAGACCUAACGGCUGCAGAGCUGAAGCGGUUGACGGAGGGAGCGGCGGACGGUGAGGGAGCGGCGGCGGACGAAAAGGGAUCUGCGGUGGCGGACGCCCUCUCCGAGGAGCGGUGGCACGCGGUCGUCCGGACGGGAAGAUGUUGUCUUGAAUCAGACGUAUUUUGGAACGUUGUAAAAUUGAACAGAGUAUCUGUAAAACGUGGCUCUAGCUGGCCCCACCCUUAUAAUAUUGCUUAAUUAAUGUAAUAGCAACUAUAUGGUGAA